UACGAAGGGGGCUAGCGUUGCUCGGAAUCACUGGGCGUAAAGGGUGCGUAGGCGGCUCUUUAAGUCAGGGGUGAAAUCCUGGAGCUCAACUCCAGAACUGCCUUUGAUACUGAAGAUCUUGAGUCCGGGAGAGGUGAGUGGAACUGCGAGUGUAGAGGUGAAAUUCGUAGAUAUUCGCAAGAACACCAGUGGCGAAGGCGGCUCACUGGCCCGGUACUGACGCUGAGGCACGAAAGCGUGGGGAGCAAACAGG
rnacentral:rRNA from 1 species